AAUAUUGGACGAUGGGGGGAACCCUGAUCCAGCCAUGCCGCGUGUGUGAAGAAGGCCUUUUGGUUGUAAAGCACUUUAAGCGAGGAGGAGGCUACUCUAGUUAAUACCUAGAGAUAGUGGACGUUACUCGCAGAAUAAGCACCGGCUAACUCUGUGCCAGCAGCCGCGGUAAUACAGAGGGUGCAAGGCUUAAUCGGAUUUACUGGGCGUAAAGCUCCCCUAACUGACCAAUUAAGUCAAAGUUGAAAUCCCCGAGGUUAACUUGAGCAUUGCAUUCGAUACUAGUUGUCUAGAGUAUGGGAUAGUAUUCUCCAACUCCCCGUUUCCCUGUGCAAUGCGUAGCUAUCUGGAGUCAUCCCUCUUGCGAAUGCAACCAUCUGUCCUCAUACUGACACUGAGGUGCGAAAGCAUGGGGAGCAAAC
rnacentral:rRNA from 1 species